rnacentral:rRNA from 1 species
GCCCAAACCGCGGUGCGUGCACCGCGGGGUUCGGACUGCAUAAGGGGAUUGAAUGGUUACCGGAAGGACUUUGGAAAAGUCCGCCAAAGAGGGUGAAAGCCCCGUACGGGAAAACGAUUCGAAACUCGGCAGGAUCCAGAGUACCACGAGACACGUGAAACCUUGUGGGAAUACGGGGGGACCACCCCCUAAGGCUAAAUACUACUUAGUGACCGAUAGUGCAUAGUACUGUGAAGGAAAGGUGAAAAGGACCCCGGGAGGGGAGUGAAAAAGAACCUGAAACCCUAUGUUUACAUGCAGUGGAAGUGCGAUACAUGAACGCACAACCGCGUACUUUUUGUAGAACGGUCCGGCGAGUUGCCGGUGCUGGCAAGGUUAAGGACUACAGGUCCGGAGCCGAAGGGAAACCGAGUCUUAACAGGGCUUACAGUCAGCAUCGGCAGACCCGAAACCGGGUGAUCUAUCCAUGUCCAGGUUGAAGUUCCCGUAAAAGGGAAUGGAGGACCGAACACACAUCCGUUGAAAAGGGUGGUGAUGAGGUGUGGAUAGGGGAGAAAUUCCAAUCGAACCCGGAGAUAGCUGGUUCUCCUCGAAAUAGCUUUAGGGCUAGCCUCGACUUAGUCAGACGGAGGUAGAGCACUGAAUUCCUGAGGGGGCGUCAAAGCCUACCAAGGGAUAUCAAACUGCGAAUGCCGCACUGAUGAUGGUCGGGAGUCAGACUGUACGAGAUAAGUUGGACAGUCAAAAGGGAAAGAGCCCAGACCUACAGCUAAGGUCCCAAAAUACGUGUUAAGUGGAAAAGGAUGUGGGAUUUCGAAGACAGCUAGGAUGUUGGCUUAGAAGCAGCCACACAUUCAAAGAGUGCGUAAUAGCUCACUAGUCGAGAGGUCCUGCGCCGAAAAUUUCCGGGGCUAAAACACGAUACCGAAGCUUAGGAAUGUAGCAAUACAUUGGUAGAGGAGCAAUCUCAGAGUGCCGAAGCGUUACCGUAAGGAAGCGUGGAGUUCUGAGAAGAGAGAAUGCCGGAAUGAGUAGCGAGAAUGAUGUGAGAAUCAUCAUGGCCGAAUAUCCAAGGAUUCCAGGGUAAAGCUGAUCUGCCCUGGGUAAGUCGGGACCUAAGGCGAGGGAGAGAUCCGUAGUCGAUGGACAGCAGGUUCAUAUUCCUGCACCUGACAUGAUCAGAACUGUGGGGACACAGGAACAAAACCGGACCCGGGAGAGCAAAGACCGGGCGAAGCGAAGCUAGGAGUGCGGUAGGCAAAUCCGCCGCACAAUCCGAAAGCGUGACAGGGAGCGAAAUAUAAGUAGCGAAGCCGGUGGAGGGACUGUCGAGAAAAGCCGCUAUUGUAUCAUGUCAGCCCGUACCGCAAACCGACACAGGUGGAUGAGGAGAGAAUCCUAAGGCCGGCGGGAGAAGCAUUGUUAAGGAACUCGGCAAAAUGACCCCGUAACUUCGGGAGAAGGGGUGCUGCAGAGAUGCAGCCGCAGAGAAAAGGCUCAAGCAACUGUUUAGCAAAAACACAGGUCUAUGCGAAACCGUAAGGUGAGGUAUAUGGGCUGACGCCUGCCCGGUGCUGGAAGGUUAAGAGGAGAGGUUAGCGCAAGCGAAGCUUUGAAUUUAAGCCCCAGUAAACGGCGGCCGUAACUAUAACGGUCCUAAGGUAGCGAAAUUCCUUGUCGGGUAAGUUCCGACCCGCACGAAAGGCGUAAUGAUUUGAGCGCUGUCUCAACAAUGCACCCGGUGAAAUUGAAGUACCAGUGAAGAUGCUGGUGACCUGCGCCAGGACGGAAAGACCCCAUGGAGCUUUACUCCAGCUUGAUACCGGGAUUCGGUGUUACUCGUACAGGAUAGGUGGGAGGCUAAGAAGGAAGGACGCCAGUCUUUCCGGAGCCGCUGUUGGGAUACCACCCCUGUGGCACUGGAUUUCUAACCUACAUCCGUAAUCCGGAUGGGGGACAAUGUCAGGUGGGGAGUUUGACUGGGGCGGUCGCCUCCGAAAGAGUAUCGGAGGCGCUCAAAGGUUCCCUCAGAAUGGUUGGAAACCAUUCGAAGAGCGCAAAGGCAGAAGGGAGCUUGACUGCGACACCGACGGGUGGAGCAGGUACGAAAGUAGGACUUAGUGAUCCGGUGGUAUAAAGUGGGAUUGCCAUCGCUCAACGGAUAAAAGCUACCCUGGGGAUAACAGGCUUAUCACUCCCAAGAGUUCACAUCGACGGAGUGGUUUGGCACCUCGAUGUCGGCUCAUCGCAUCCUGGGGCUGAAGUCGGUCCCAAG